AAUGCAUUCUGGCAUUCAGCACAAUCACAGGUUUGCUCAUCAAAGAAAUAAGAUUGAAGGAACCCUUGAAAGCAGGAUUGAUUCAUUGUUCAUCUUUCAAAAGACCAGCACACAGGCGGUAAUGGUAACAUUAAACUCAAGGGCUUUGUAUGCAGCUUUUGUUUAGCCACAAGCUGAGCAAGGCCACAAUAAAACAACUCCAAAAUAUGGAUGUUGUAUCCCGUGAUGCAAAGGGAGGAUGAACACAGAAUGCCAAGUGGGGACAUUUUAAGGAAUCUGAUUCCACGGUCCAUUCUGAUGUGACCUAAGCUUAUUCAUAUCAAUUCCUGGAUGUGAAAAAGAACAAAUCUUUUCAAAGCACAGAAGGAACUGUACACAGAGUUUGUGAUGUCUUUACUUAACUUUAGCUUAAAUAAUUUAGCUUAAAUAAACACUCUUAAAUUUCUUUUAAACCAUUCACAGAAUUGAAAGGAAUUUAGAAGAGAUCUAGAUAGAGAAUUUUGGUAAUACAUUGUUUUCUGGGGCAAAUGUAUACACUUAUUUAUAGCAAGGAAUGCUUCAUCUAUAACUGAAUCGUUCGUGGCUACCUUUGUUCAACAGGCAUUCCCCAAGCUCUUGUUUCCCUCUGUGAUAUAUGGAAAUAGCCCUUCCAGUUUCCCAGAUGUCUGAAUGACCAAAUAUUUUGGAUAUCUUAAGCUGUUGGCUGAAUGAUGUUCAGAGCUGAAAUUAAUAUCCGAAUGAUAGUUUGUUUCUGGAAGGAAUGUUGUUGCCGUUUCAGGAAGAACCAAAUGUUUUAAUGAGCCCCUAUUUUGAAAACAAAAGGCUUCUAGCCCAGAGAAAACUAAUGUAUCCAUAAGAAAUACACCACGCAUAUACUGUGAGAAACCAUUGUUACAUGAAGGAAAAGUUAAACAUAUUAAAAAAAUUAGAAGUUAAUAUCCUUCCUUUUGAUGGAGUAAUCAAAAAGCAAAGCAUUCCCUGCAAAGCAAAAUCAACUGUCUUGUAUUGUUGGCUUAGAUCGGAGAAGAGUCCCCGUUAUUAUUAAUCUGCC
rnacentral:lncRNA from 11 species